CUUGUGUUACACAUAUGCAAGGUGCACUCGCUCAGUUUCCAUAGUCCCACCAGCUUACUACGCACAUCUUGCUGCAUUCCGAGCCCGUUACUACAUUGAAGCGGGAGAAUUCUCCGACAGUGGAUCUGCUGCAGCGGGCCCAGGUGGAGCGAUGAGGGAGAGGGUUGGAGAGGUUCGGGCUCUGCCUGCAAUUAUGGACAAUGUUAAGGAUGUCAUGUUCUACUGCUGAUUUUAGAUGACUUAAAAACUUAACUACAGGACUACAUCUUUUUGUCUAGAUUCACAUGUUUUGCUGAUUUUCGAUUAAUUUAGAAAAAAAACUACAUCUUUUUGUCUAUGAACAUAUGUUUUUGUAGAU